GAUCAAGUGUCUUAAGGGCAAUUGGUGGAUGCCUUGGCAUGCACAGGCGAUGAAGGACGUGAUACGCUGCGAUAAGCUACGGGGAGGUGCGAAUACCCUUUGAUCCGUAGA
rnacentral:rRNA from 1 species